rnacentral:rRNA from 1 species
GGAUUAGAUACCCUGGUAGUCCAUGCUGUAAACGAUGAGUACUCGAUGUGCGGGGUGUACGACCCCUCGCGUGUCACAGCUAACGCAAUAAGUACUCCGCCUGGGGACUACGGUCGCAAGACUAAAACUCAAAGGAAUUGACGGGGGCCCGCACAAGCGGUGGAGGAUGUGGUUUAAUUCGACGCAACGCGAAGAACCUUACCUGGCCUUGACAUGCAGAGAA